rnacentral:misc_RNA from 1 species
CGCACAUUGCGCCCGCCAGCAUUCUGGCGGGCAUGCCUGUUCGAGCGUCAUUUCAACCCUCGAGCUCCCCUUGGGGAGCCCGGCGUUGGGGACCGGCAGCACACCGCCGGCCCUGAAAUGGAGUGGCGGCCCGUCCGCGGCGACCUCUGCGUAGUAACAUCACCUCGCACCGGGAACCCGACGCGGCCACGCCGUAAAACACCCAACAUUCUGAACGUUGACCUCGGAUCAGGUAGGAAUACCCGCUGAACUUAA